rnacentral:lncRNA from 1 species
GGCGCCCACACGUGUCCGGGCGCUGCUCGCCCCGCCCCGGCAGCCUUGCAGAGUAGUAGGCCUGCGAAGGGCGCCCCUGAGUGCGAGGAGGUGCCAAGCGCAGGCUCCGGCUUGUCCCCCCCCCCCCAGCACCGCCGGGCCCCGCCGCGAGGAGGCCGCGCAGAUAUCCUGUACCACAGCUUGGAAAAAGAUACAUAGGAAAAACACACUCUGGCUCUUGGCCACUCUACCACAAGGGACAUCUUCGGAGGGCUGGCAGAUGGAUUUACAACUGCUUUUCACCACUGGACUACAAUCGGGUAGCUACAACAGGCUGAGAAUUUGACUCAGUGUAUGGCCUUAAGAAAAUGAACCCACAGCAAAACUAUUCAGUGGUGUACACUAGGAGAAAAUAACUGGAAAUAGUUUUAAAACCUCAUCAUCUGUGAUAAAGUUACAUUGAGAGAUCAUUUAAUAGCCCUACAGGAAAGAUAACCAUAAAAAGAACAAAAAAAACCCAACUACAUUACAAAAAAUGGAUUGCUACAAAUCUUUAUAGGCCUGCCAAAGUCCUAAUAUGAGAUAUGAUGUGAGAGAAAGAUCCCAAGUGAGAAUUCUGAAAAAAUUAUCAGGCAUGCAAAUUUAAAUUUAUAUUAGAUUAAUUUCUGUAACAAAAACAAUAUUUUUUGUAUGAGUGGCUCCAUAUUUAGGUGCAGCAAUAUGUGGGAUUUCCUUCCUAAGGACAAGUUUUCUCUCUGCCUUUAUUUUGAAGCUUCCUCAGUUUUUAUCUCUCGUUCCUUAAAAGAUUUUCUAUUUACUUUCCUUUUCACUUGUUAAUCCAUUUGCUCAGUUAAAUACUUUCUCAUACUCCUUUUGGCCUAAAUCCAAAGACCCCAUAGUCAGCCAAAGUAUAACUGGCUGGACUUUAGACAUCCCUAUUCAGAAAUCAGAGAAGAAUCCUCUCUUCAGAGACACUGUUUUUAAUAUUAUUCAAAUCAUGAAUAUUGAACAACAAAACAUUUGAAUAAAAG